rnacentral:lncRNA from 1 species
UCAUAGUGCAAGUGAAAAUUCUCAUAUCCCUUCAAAAUAGAUCCGAUUCGAAUCCAAUUCAAAGCUGGUUCGAAAUAAUUUCGAAAGGCUGUUAAUCCUAAAUUUUUUAAGACUUUUGUACCAAGUCUAAAUUAAAUUUUGGAUCCAAUUAAGCUUAAUUAAUUUAGAUCUAAUAUAAAAUUAAUUAAUACUUAAAUUCAAUCUUUCAUAUACUUCAUAGAUUAUAGAUAAAAAAAUAUCCAUCCCC